GUACAUGCCUACAACAUAGCUUUAAUGCACCAGAUUCCAAUAGAAAUCUACAAUUAAGCAUGCUCGAGCUAGAGUAGUACUAGGAUGGGUGAUAUCCUGGGAAGUCCUAGUGGUUUAUAUG
rnacentral:rRNA from 1 species